rnacentral:rRNA from 1 species
UACGAAGGGGGCUAGCGUUGCUCGGAAUCACUGGGCGUAAAGCGCACGUAGGCGGAUUGUUAAGUCAGGGGUGAAAUCCUGGAGCUCAACUCCAGAACUGCCUUUGAUACUGGCGAUCUUGAGUCCGGGAGAGGUGAGUGGAACUGCGAGUGUAGAGGUGAAAAUUCGUAGAUAUUCGCAAGAACACCAGUGGCGAAGGCGGCUCUCUGGUACGUGACUGACGCUGAGACGCGAAAAGCGUGGGGGAGCAAACAGGG